CCUACGGGAGGCAGCAGUGAGGAAUAUUGGUCAAUGGACGAGAGUCUGAACCAGUCAAGUAGCGUGAAGGAUGACUGCCCUAUGGGUUGUAAACUUCUUUUAUAUGGGAAUAAAAUGUUCCACGUGUGGGAUUUUGUAUGUACCCUAUGAAUAAGGAUCGGCUAACUCCGUGCCAGCAGCCGCGGUAAUACGGAGGAUCCGAGCGUUAUCCGGAUUUAUUGGGUUUAAAGGGAGCGUAGGUGGAUUGUUAAGUCAGUUGUGAAAGUUUGCGGCUCAACCGUAAAAUUGCAGUUGAAACUGGCAGUCUUGAGUACAGUAGAGGUGGGCGGAAUUCGUGGUGUAGCGGUGAAAUGCUUAGAUAUCACGAAGAACUCCGAUUGCGAAGGCAGUUCACUGGACUGCAACUGACACUGAGGCUCGAAAGUGUGGGUAUCAAACAGGAUUAGAUACCCCUGUAGUC
rnacentral:rRNA from 1 species